AAAGUAGCAAUACUUUGGUGGCGACCGGCGCACGGGUGAGUAACGCGUAUGCAACCCAUCUAUCAGAGGGGAAUAACCCGGCGAAAGUCGGACUAAUACCGCAUAAAACAGGGACACCGCAUGGUGAUAUUUGUUAAAGAAAUUCGCUGAUAGAUGGGCAUGCGUUCCAUUAGGUAGUUGGUGAGGUAACGGCUCACCAAGCCGACGAUGGAUAGGGGAACUGAGAGGUUGGUCCCCCACACUGGUACUGAGACACGGACCAGACUCCUACGGGAGGCAGCAGUGAGGAAUAUUGGUCAAUGGGCGAGAGCCUGAACCAGCCAAGUCGCGUGAAGGAAGAAGGAUCUAUGGUUCGUAAACUUCUUUUGCAGGGGAAUAAAGUGCAGGACGUGUCCUGUUUUGUAUGUACCCUGAGAAUAAGGAUCGGCUAACUCCGUGCCAGCAGCCGCGGUAAUACGGAGGAUCCGAGCGUUAUCCGGAUUUAUUGGGUUUAAAGGGUGCGUAGGUGGUUUGAUAAGUCAGCGGUGAAAGUUUGCAGCAUAACUGUAAAAAUGCCGUUGAAACUGUCGGACUUGAGUGUAAAUGAGGUAGGCGGAAUGCGUGGUGUAGCGGUGAAAUGCUUAGAUAUCACGAAGAACUCCGAUUG
rnacentral:rRNA from 1 species